rnacentral:rRNA from 1 species
AGAGUUUGAUCCUGGCUCAGGACGAACGCUGGCGGCGUGCUUAAUAUAUGUAAGUUGAAUGAGAAAGCUCCCUUCGGGGAGUGAGUAGAGUGGCGCACGGGUGAGUAACGCGUAGGUAAUCUACCUUUGAGUUUGAGAUAACUCCGGGAAACUGGAGCUAAUACCGAAUGAAGCAUCAUACUUAGUGUGUGGUGUUAAAGGGGCUUUCGGGUCCCGCUUGAAGAUGAGCCUGCGACCUAUCAGCUAGUUGGUUGGGUAAUGGUUUAUUAAGGUGAAGAUGGGUAGUUGGUUUGAGAGGAUGAUCAGCCACACUGGGACUGAGAUAUGGCCCAGACUCCUACGGGAGGCAGCAGUAGGGAAUAUUGCGCAAUGGGGGAAACCCUGACGCAGCGACGCCGCGUGAGUGAUGAAGGCCGUUUAGGUUGUAAAGCUCUGUAAGGAGGGAAGAAUUAUAAGUAGUAAUGUAUUUGUUUGAUGGUACCUCCAAAGUAAGGACCGGCUAAAUACGUGCCAGCAGUUGCGGUAAUACGUAUGGUCCGAGCGUUGUCCGGAAUGACUGGGCGUAAAGGGUGUGUAGGCGGAUUCAUAAGUCAGGUGUGAAAUUCCCGAGCUUAAUUUGGGAACUGCGCUUGAAACUGUGAGUCUAGAGCAUGUCAGAGGUAAGUGGAAUUCCCGGAGUAGUGGUGAAAUGUGUAGAUAUUGGGAAGAACAUUAGUGGUGAAGGUGAUUUACUGGGACAUUGCUGACGCUGAGGCACGAAAGCGUGGGGAGCGAACGGGAUUAGAUAUCCCGGUAGUCCACGCCGUAAACGAUGUAUACUAGAUGUCAGGGUUAUUAAAAAUCUUGGUGUCGUAGUUAAUGUGUUAAGUAUACCGCCUGGGGAGUACGGUCGCAAGAUUAAAACUCAAAGGAAUUGACGGGGGCCCGCACAAGCGGUGGAGCAUGUGGUUUAAUUCGAUGCAAUGUGCAGAACUUUACCCGGAUUUGACAUCCUCCUGCCGGAACUAGAGAUAGUUUUUUCUCUUCGGAGACGGGAGUGACAGGUGCUGCAUGGCUGUCGUCAGCUCGUGUUGUGAGAUGUUGGGUUAAGUCCCGCAACGAGCGCAACCCUUGUCCUUAGUUGCCAUCAUUAAGUUGGGCACUCUAUGGAGACUGCCGAGGUUAACUCGGAGGAAGGUGGGGAUGACGUCAAGUCCUCAUGGCCCUUAUGUCCGGGGCUACACACGUGCUACAAUGGUAUAGACAGAGUGAAGCUAGAUUGUAAAGUGGAGCAAAUCACAGAAACUAUAUCCCAGUUCGGAUUGGGGUCUGCAAUUUGACCCCAUGAAGUUGGAAUCGCUAGUAAUCGCGGAUUAGUAUGCCGCGGUGAAUACGUUCCCGGGCCUUGUAUACACCGCCCGUCACACCAUGGGAGUUGUUCUCACUGGAUGAUGUUGAGUUAGUUUUUGGGAGGUAUGUAUUAAUGGUGAGGAUAGCGACUGGGGUGAAGUUGAAACAAGGUA